rnacentral:lncRNA from 1 species
CAGCCCUCACGGCCUCUUCUUUUGAUUACUCAAAGCAACACAUUUAUACAAGGACUUAGGCAGCCCACCACGCACGUCCACCUCCUGGAAUCGCUCCACACAGAGGAUAAUUCGGUUGGCCGUCCACUAACUCAACUAAUUAUCUCCAUGCACCAACUACCCACUGCAUGCGUGUGCAACAUUGACUCAGCAGCCACACGACCCAUGCAUGCACACCAACGAACUAACUAGCACACCGAAUCUCUUGGCUCCAAUCCAGCUAACCCAUUCAGCCGGUCUGGCUCCAACGUGCCUGGUCGCCUCACGCGACCGUGCCGCAUCGCACAGCACCACAGGCAUCUCGUCGUACUCGCCGCAUCGCACAGCAGCCCAACAUCUCGACUUCUUCGCGCACUCAACCCAAGCUUCUGCGGCUAGCUACUCCUAGACCAUGCUACAUGCAUAACGAAAGCAAACUAUGCAGAUACAUGAACAUGACAAGAUUAAACCUAACAUUCACCUCCCUAAUCUUGACAUGUCAACUCUUCUACUCUUGAUGCAGAUCACCUGCAAUGUCUUGCCAGGGACGAUGCCAUCACACGGCCGAUCUCCACUCCAUCUCGCCGUGGACGCCGUCGCAGCACCGAUACGCACCUUGUCGUGGACGCGCCAUCGCAGUGCCGAACUCGACAUCACCAUCAUGGCUUCAACCACGCCUUCGCAGCAGCGGUCACCAAGCCAUCUUGCCGCAGCAUCACGCUGCAAUCUUGUUGGCUUCACACCAACUCUUCAUGAUGGCGAUGGCAUCGCACCACCGCCAUCGGCAUCACACCGACUCGAGUGACGGCAUCGCGCCGCCAUACAUCUUCUUAGCAGCGUCGCACCGCGUCUCCUUGUGACGGCAUCGCACCAUCGUCGUGGCAGCAUCGCACCAUCGUCUCCUCCUAGCGGCAUCACACCGCAACCGGCCACCGGCGGCAUCUCGCCGUUGACGGCCUUCAUCUCGCGCCGACGUCCUCCACCUCACAUGGAGUCCGCCGCGUCGCCGUCGCUGUUGCCGCAGCCGUCGCCUCCGCCACCGCCACGCCGGUCACCAUAGCCGCCGGCACCGUCGUCGCCGCCAUGGAUCAACAAGGCUCUGAUGCCAAUUGUUGGCGCCGCCCUCUCGCAGCGCCACUUCUUCUUCUACCUCGAGUUGCCUCGCACAACUUUCUAUCUCUCUUUUGUCUCACACAAGAACACACACACACACACGCCAAGGAAGAAGCCAGCACCAGCUUUGCCGAGAGCUUUCCUCCUUGGUGACACAAAUGUGCUACAUUGUUUUUGCCCAGCCCUCACGGCCUCUUCUUUUGAUUACUCAAAGCAACACAUUUAUACAAGGACUUAGGCAGCCCACCACGCACGUCCACCUCCUGGAAUCGCUCCACACAGAGGAUAAUUCGGUUGGCCGUCCACUAACUCAACUAAUUAUCUCCAUGCACCAACUACCCACUGCAUGCGUGUGCAACAUUGACUCAGCAGCCACACGACCCAUGCAUGCACACCAACGAACUAACUAGCACACCGAAUCUCUUGGCUCCAAUCCAGCUAACCCAUUCAGCCGGUCUGGCUCCAACGUGCCUGGUCGCCUCACGCGACCGUGCCGCAUCGCACAGCACCACAGGCAUCUCGUCGUACUCGCCGCAUCGCACAGCAGCCCAACAUCUCGACUUCUUCGCGCACUCAACCCAAGCUUCUGCGGCUAGCUACUCCUAGACCAUGCUACAUGCAUAACGAAAGCAAACUAUGCAGAUACAUGAACAUGACAAGAUUAAACCUAAC